UAGGGAAUCUUCCGCAAUGGGCGAAAGCCUGACGGAGCAACGCCUCGUGAGUGAUGAAGGUCUUCGGAUCGUAAAACUCUGUUAUUAGGGAAGAACAAAUGUGUAAGUAACUAUGCACGUCUUGACGGUACCUAAUCAGAAAGCCACGGCUAACUACGUGCCAGCAGCCGCGGUAAUACGUAGGUGGCAAGCGUUAUCCGGAAUUAUUGGGCGUAAAGCGCGCGUAGGCGGUUUUUUAAGUCUGAUGUGAAAGCCCACGGCUCAACCAUGGAGGGUCAUUGGAAGCUGGAAAACUUGAGUGCAGAAAAGGAAAGUGGAAUUCCAUGUGUAGCGGUGAAAUGCGCAGAGCUAUGGAGGAACACCAGUGGCGAAGGCGACUUUCUGGUCUGUAACUGACGCUGAUGUGCGAAAGCGUGGGGAUCAAACAGG
rnacentral:rRNA from 1 species